CGCGGGGUGGAGCAGUUGGCAGCUCGUCGGGCUCAUAACCCGAAGGUCAUAGGUUCAAGUCCUAUCCCCGCAA
rfam:Clostridium tetanomorphum DSM 665 contig62, whole genome shotgun sequence.